rnacentral:rRNA from 1 species
CGAACGCUGGCGGCGCGCCUAAUACAUGCAAGUCGAGCGAGAAGGUGUAGCAAUACACUUGUAAAGCGGCGAACGGGUGAGGAAUACAUGGGUAAUCUACCAUCGAGUGGGGAAUAACCAGCCGAAAGGUUGGCUAAUACCGCGUACGCUUCCGAGUCUUCGGGCUUGGAAGGAAAGCCGCACUGUGAGUGCGGCGCUCUUUGAUGAGCUCAUGUCCUAUCAGCUUGUUGGUAGGGUAACGGCCUACCAAGGCUUUGACGGGUAGCUGGUCUGAGAGGACGAUCAGCCACACUGGCACUGCGACACGGGCCAGACUCCUACGGGAGGCAGCAGUAAGGAAUAUUGCGCAAUGGGCGAAAGCCUGACGCAGCGACGCCGCGUGGGGGAUGAAGGUCUUCGGAUUGUAAACCCCUUUCGGGAGGGAAGAUGGAGCGAGCAAUCGUUCGGACGGUACCUCCAGAAGCAGCCACGGCCAACUUCGUG